UUAGGAAUUUUGCGCAAUGGGGGAAACCCUGACGCAGCAACGCCGCGUGAAGGAUGAAGGCUUUCGGGUUGUAAACUUCUUUUAGCAGGAAAGAACACAAUGACGGUACCUGCAGAAAAAGCACCGGCUAACUCUGUGCCAGCAGCCGCGGUAAUACAGAGGGUGCAAGCGUUAUUCGGAAUUACUGGGCAUAAAGAGCGCGUAGGCGGUCUAAUAAGUCUGAUGUGAAAUCCCUGGACUCAAUUCAGGAAGUGCAUCGGAUACUGCUAGACUAGAGUGCAGGAGAGGAGAGCGGAAUUCCUGGUGUAGAGGUGAAAUUCGUAGAUAUCAGGAGGAACAACAGUGGCGAAGGCGGCUCUCUGGACUGUAACUGACGCUGAGGCGCGAAAGCGUGGGGAGC
rnacentral:rRNA from 1 species